CAUGGUUUGAAAUUAAACAUGAACUCAUUCUUCAGAUUCAGAUUCAAUUUCAUCUUUAAGAAUAUCAUGUGAGAUUUUCCUAAAUUCUGCAAAGUUUCAUAUAUUUCAAUAUUUCCAAAGAGCCCCAAUUUACAAACCCCAUCAUCCUAACUUUAAUAGUCAUUAAUAACCUCCUUUGUACCUUCUGAUCUGCUACCAGCAGGUAUAUUUAAAGUUAUCUAGUAUGGACAUUCGAGUUCUUUUUUAAAAAUUCCUGAGCCUGGAUUUCUGCAUUUUCAUUCUCUGUUUUUUUUUUUUUUAUUGAAAAUCUGUUGUGUUUAAGAAUGGUCUAAUAGAAAAUUCAUGUGGACCCAAAGGAACAUCUGUAUAUUCACUUGUGACCCAGUUGAGGAGCAAGUACACCAGGGAAAGGCUUGAUGAGAACUGAUUGAUCUGAGUCAAUUCUUUGAAUGUGAAAAUACCGACUACUGAGUUCGGUUUGAGGUAAAUUAUUGUAACUGGGAAGAAAGCAUUAGCAUAGUAAAAUUGAUUCCAAAUAUUUUUUUCAAUAGACAUAUUUUGAGUACACUUUCCUCUUGAUGAAAAGAAUUUUCUUAAUGGUCAACACCAGUGUUCUAAAAGGAAAUCCAAAUGAUAAGGACAAUAGUGGGACUGAAUUCACGUGUAUGUGUGUGAGAUUCAGACUAUCAAGUAAGUAUUGUAACACAAGUUUAUCCUAUGAAUUGUUUCAAUAAUAAUCCUUGUGAGUCACUUAAAGCCAAGUAGUUGAAACUUCUCUAUCUCAUUUUGUGUGUUCUCUUGUAUGAGGCACAAAGAGACAGUCCUAGAAGGGCCAGAACCUGGAGUGAACCACCUUUGUGAUCUCUCUCACAACUUUCCUCAUAUUUCAUACAUAAACUUGUCUAAGAUUGGGGCAAGAACUUAAAAAUAUCUUUAGGAAUCUGAGAAAAAGAAAGAUGUAAAGAAACAUGAAGCCAGAGAAAAGUAGACAUUGGGAAAGAGUUUCUCAUCUACCUGGUUAUGUGAUGGACACACAGGAGGGUGAAUUGGAAGGCUGGUGAGUGGAUGGGUAGAUCUGUCCUUUCCCACACUUUCAAGUCUUUCCCAACAGUCAAAGUAAUACUUAGGAUGCAUCCUCUUGUUAAAGAGUUUGAACUUAACUGUCCUAAUUAAUAAUAGAAACAAGAGAAGCACAUUUGCCCC
rnacentral:lncRNA from 1 species